CGGGAUGAGCUCAAAUUUAAAAUCUGGCGGCCUCAGGUCGUCCGAGUUGUAGUCUAGAGAAUCGUUUUCCGCGUUGGCCUGUGUACAAGUCCCUUGGAACAGGGCGUCAUAGAGGGUGAGAAUCCCGUCCUUGACACAGAUUACCAAUGCUUUGUGAUGCGAUCUCGAAGAGUCGAGUUGUUUGGGAAUGCAGCUCAAAAUGGGUGGUAAAUUCCAUCUAAAGCUAAAUAUUGGCGAGAGACCGAUAGCGAACAAGUACCGUGAGGGAAAGAUGAAAAGCACUUUGGAAAGAGAGUUAAACAGUACGUGAAAUUGUUAAAAGGGAAACGAUUGAAGUCAGUCAUGCUUUCCGAGACUCAGCCGAUUCUGUCGGUGUACUUCUCGGUUGGCAGGCCAGCAUCAGUUUCGAUCUGUGGAAAAGGUUGGAGGGAACGUGGCAUUUUCGGAUGUGUUAUAGCCCUCUUUCGAAUACAUAGAGCGGGACUGAGGAACGCAGCGCGCCUUUUAUUAGGUUGGCCUUCGGGUACAUACGCGCUUAGGAUGCUGGCAUAAUGGCUUUAAACGACCCGUCUUGA
rnacentral:rRNA from 1 species